rnacentral:rRNA from 1 species
UACAGAGGGUGCGAGCGUUAAUCGGAAUUACUGGGCGUAAAGCGUGCGUAGACGGUUUUGUAAGUCGGAUGUGAAAUCCCCGGGCUCAACCUGGGAAUUGCAUUCGAGACUGCAAGGCUUGGGUGCGGAAGAGGGAAGCGGAAUUUCCGGUGUAGCGGUGAAAUGCGUAGAUAUCAGGAGGAACACCUGUGGUGUAGACAGCUUACUGGACCAUUUCUGACGCUGAGACACGAAAGCGUGGGUAGCAAACAGG